rnacentral:rRNA from 1 species
UACGAAGGGGGCUAGCGUUGCUCGGAAUGACUGGGCGUAAAGGGCGCGUAGGCGGUUGUGUAAGUGGGAUGUGAAAUCCCCCGGCUUACCCGGGGACCUGCAUCCCAAACUGCACAGCUUGAGUAUGGGAGAGGAUGAGGGAAUUCCUGGUGAAGCGGUGAAAUGCGUAGAUAUCAGGAGGAACACCGGUGGCGAAGGCGCUCAUCUGGCCCAAUACUGACGCUGAUGCGCGAAAGCUAGGGGAGCAAACGGG